rnacentral:tRNA from 1 species
AAAAAUUUAGUUAAUAGAAUAACAUUAGCUUGUCAAACUAAAAUAAUUAAAUAAAUUAAUAAUUUUUA